rnacentral:rRNA from 1 species
GAUGAACGCUGGCGGCGUGCCUAAUACAUGCAAGUCGAGCGAACAGACGAGGAGCUUGCUCCUCUGACGUUAGCGGCGGACGGGUGAGUAACACGUGGAUAACCUACCUAUAAGACUGGGAUAACUUCGGGAAACCGGAGCUAAUACCGGAUAAUAUAUUGAACCGCAUGAUUCAAUAGUGAAAGACGGUUUUGCUGUCACUUAUAGAUGGAUCCGCGCCGCAUUAGCUAGUUGGUAAGGUAACGGCUUACCAAGGCGACGAUGCGUAGCCGACCUGAGAGGGUGAUCGGCCACACUGGAACUGAGACACGGUCCAGACUCCUACGGGAGGCAGCAGUAGGGAAUCUUCCGCAAUGGGCGAAAGCCUGACGGAGCAACGCCGCGUGAGUGAUGAAGGUCUUCGGAUCGUAAAACUCUGUUAUUAGGGAAGAACAAAUGUGUAAGUAACUAUGCACGUCUUGACGGUACCUAAUCAGAAAGCCACGGCUAACUACGUG